rnacentral:rRNA from 1 species
AUUGAACGCUGGCGGCAUGCCUUACACAUGCAAGUCGAACGGCAGCAUGGAGAGCUUGCUCUCUGAUGGCGAGUGGCGAACGGGUGAGUAAUGCAUCGGAACGUACCGUGUAAUGGGGGAUAACGUAGCGAAAGUUACGCUAAUACCGCAUACGACCUGAGGGUGAAAGCAGGGGAUCGCAAGACCUUGCGUUAUACGAGCGGCCGAUGUAGGAUUAGCUAGUUGGUGAGGUAAAGGCUCACCAAGGCGACGAUCUGUAGCGGGCCUGAGAGGAUGAUCCGCCACACUGGGACUGAGACACGGCCCAGACUCCUACGGGAGGCAGCAGUGGGGAAUUUUGGACAAUGGGGGCAACCCUGAUCCAGCCAUGCCGCGUGAGUGAAGAAGGCCUUCGGGUUGUAAAGCUCUUUCGGCCGGGAAGAAAUCGCACAGGCUAAUACUCUGUGUGGAUGACGGUACCGGCAUAAGAAGCACCGGCUAACUACGUGCCAGCCGCCGCCGUAA